rnacentral:lncRNA from 1 species
GUUCAAUACCACAAAAGGAAGGUUUGGAUCGAUUUUGGGGAUGAUGGUCCCAACCGUUUAGGAAUUAAGGGCCCAAAAGGGGCCCAAAACAAGCAUUUUAUAGUUUAAGGAUAAUAACUUGUGUAUAAGUAUUUCAAUUGCUCUGAUAUUGUAUCACAAUGUUUAAAACCACACGUAGAAGGUUUGGAUUCAUUUAAAUGGGUCAUGGGUUCAAAGUUAGGAAUUAAGGGCCAAAAAGGGGCCAAAAAAACAAGCAUUUUUCUAGUUUCAAGACAAUAACUUGUGUGUAAUUGUAUGGAUCUCUCUCAAAUUGUACCACAAUGCUCCAUAUAACAAAGGGGAGGCUGGGAUUUAGUUUUGGAUUAAUUGUCCAAAAUAUGUAGGAAUAAGGGGCCAAAAAAGGGCCAAAAAGAAGCAUGUUUCUAGUUUCCAAAC